rnacentral:rRNA from 1 species
GGAUUCCUACGGGGCGCAGCAGUGGGGAAUAUUGCACAAUGGGGGAAACCCUGAUGCAGCGACGCCGCGUGAGUGAAGAAGUAUCUCGGUACGUAAAGCUCUAUCAGCAGGGAAGAAAAUGACGGUACCUGAGUAAGAAGCCCCGGCUAACUACGUGCCAGCAGCCGCGGUAAUACGUAGGGGGCAAGCGUUAUCCGGAUUUACUGGGUGUAAAGGGAGCGUAGACGGCGAAGAAAGUCUGAAGUGAAAGCCCGCGGCUCAACCGCGGAACUGCUUUGGAAACUUUUUUGCUGGAGUACCGGAGG